ACAGACAUUUUUUAUCAUAGAUAUUUUCUAAAAGAUUA
rnacentral:antisense_RNA from 1 species